CGGCGAGGGUGGCGGAGGCGGAAGUGACUCGGCGGUGCUGGGAGACGUGGGCUCCGGCGAUGCCUAGGGUUGCCUGGGGCGAGCGAUAAGGAAAGAGAAUUGACAGUGAGCCUUCCCCAUCCACUGUUGCUGCAAGUCGGUGUGGAGAGCUGCGCCACACAGCGCCUCAAAGAUGGCGCCGGCUUCCGCAUUCCACCAUCCCGACGAUAUUGGCCAGGGUUCUCUUCGCAACUCCUAGAGCUGGACCUCGGACGAGCAUCAUAUGGCCCUCUGAAAGCAUGGAGCUCAUUGCUCCGAAGCCAACAGGCGAGCUUCUCCCAAUUCUUCUGCUGCUGCUGUUGCAGCUGCUUACAACAGCUAUCAUCGUUGCUAGAGUCUUGUAUUCAAUGUGACGCCAUAGGCAAAGUGAUUCUACUACUUCAGUUACAUUACACACCCUAAUAAAAGGCGGGGCACCCCGAUACAGUCCCAAGCCACCAGGAGUCUCGGGAGCCAUUUUUAGGUCUCACCAACCCUGGUUCUUGAACGGGUAACCGCUGCCAGCGCAUGAAACUCGGUCUUUGGCAUUCUCUUGAGAACGGCCACUGGUUUAUUAGUGUACUUAGAAAGCAUAGAAUCUGCAUUGACACUCAACGCCUCACAGACUUCAAAGAUCCAUCUCCGAGCAUAUUUUGUCACACUGAGUUUUCCUGACAAUUUAAGAUAAACGUGCUGCAAGAAAUGA